GGAAGGAUCAUUCCAAGCUUGUUCUCUGAACAACCAAACCGUGCAACUCUUCCGCGAGGAAAACGUCAACUCGACUUUAGCUGUUUUUUCGUAUUCGAACAACUCUUAGCAACGGAUACCUCGGCUACCACUACGAUGAAGAACGCAGCGAAUCGCGAUAGGAAUUGCGAAUUGCAGAAUUCAGUGAAUCAUCGUAACUUUGAACGCAAACUGCGCUUGGGGGUUGACCCCGAGCAUGCCUCUUUGAGUGUCGGUCAAACCAUCCUGCUGGUUUUCAGCGGGGACGUGAGAGUCCUGCCGGUCUCUGCAAGCACGCGGGCUCCCGUGAGGGAAGCUCUGGCGGGUGUCGGGGACGACGCAAGUGGAGAUGAUAUUUUCGCGAGCAGUCCCCAGUGUCCGUCGCAGCUCUCGGCCCCUGUUCCUCGGAACAACUUCUGACCAUCGACCUCAAAUGAGGUAGGAUUACCCGCUGAACUUAAGCAUAUCAUUAAGCGGAGGAAAAGAAACUAACUAGGAUUCCCUUAGUAACGGCGAGUGAAAUGGGAAGAGCUCAAACCUGUAAUCGGCGCGGGUCUCCCGCGUCCGAGUUGUGGUCUCGAGAAGCACUCUCAGCACUGGCCCCGGUCUAAGUCUGUUGGAACACAGCUGUCAUAGAGGGUGAGAACCCCGUAUGGGACUGGGAGUCCAGGGCGUACGAGGUGCUAUCCAAGAGUCGGGUUGCUUGGGAGUGCAGCCUUAAAUGGGUGGUAAAUUCCAUCUAAAGCUAAAUACCAGUGGUAGACCGAUAGCGCACAAGUACCGUGAGGGAAAGGUGAAAAGGACUUUGAAAAGAGAGUCAAAAGUACUUGAAAUUGUUAAGAGAUUAACGGAUAGGAACCAUUGUAUCGAAGCGCGGUAACCUAGCCGAGGACCGGGGGAUCGAGCGGCCGUUCGUGCUCGGGUCUUUCCAAGACCCGGGGAGCAGCUGCGCGUGAGCCCGCCGCCGAGGUUGUAUUUCCGCGCGGGCUGUCAGAGUGGAUUCGGGGCAGGCGUGAAGAGACAUGGACGGGAGGUAGAGUCGUGAUCGGCUCGCCGUGAUCCUCGAACUCCGUCCUUGCCGCAAGCGUCGUCCGGAUCGAGGAACGACUGUGACAAAAUGGUUUUUAUUCACCCGUCUUGAAACACGGACCAAGGAGUCUAACGUAUGUGCGAGUAUUAGGGUGGCAAACCCGAGUGCGAAAUGAAAGUGAAGGACGGCUUUGGUCGUCUGAGGUGCGAAGCGCAAGCAGCAGCAUCGCCCGGCUGGCCCGCUGUGGCCGGUUCGAGGCCGAGCACAUCCGCUAGGACCCGAAAGAUGGUGAACUAUUCCUGAGCAGGGUGAAGCCAGGGGAAACUCUGGUGGAAGCUCGUAGCGAUACUGACGUGCAAAUCGUUCGUCAGACUUGGGUAUAGGGGCGAAAGACUAAUCGAACCAUCUAGUAGCUGGUUCCCUC
rnacentral:misc_RNA from 1 species